GGAAAUAUAUUACCUUGUUGCGUACGAGCCAAUCACCAGCAGAACAAAACAGUUGUUUGUUUUGUGUUAUUUUUUCUUUUUAAUCAAAUAUAUUUGGGAUAUAUUUUUGCAUCCCGAUCAACACUCCGUUCCAGUAGGUGGCGCUUAUCCUGCUGGACACGUUAACACCAGAACCCUUGUGUUUUUCCAAACACGUCCCAUGUUGCUAAUGAGCGCUUCUAGCUAGGUCAUUCAAUGACACACAAGAAGAGAAUGGACCCAUUUAGAGACGAAGAGACAAGAUACGUAGUAUUUGUGGUGAUUAACAAACUGCACGCAGGUGUUGGGGACAGGAAAUGGCAACACCAACACAGACAGUUCAAGAAAAUAAAAAUAUAACCAAGUAGCCUACGCACAAGAAUUACCUUUGACAUUUGGGUGUCAGGAAGCAGUUUGCCAGGACCUCCACCUGGACUACAGCAGGAAGAUGAACUCUGCUGGCUCCCAUCUGCCCACCACUCCACCACUGGAACGGUUCUCUGGCCCUGUCGGGCUCUUGGCCUCAUCCUCGCUGACUGAAGAUUGGCCAGAUGGCGUUAUCUAUGGACCAAUAGGGCGCCUGGAUCCAUACCUCAUCCCACAGGUCCUUCUGAUGGCCUUAGCUCAACCGUAGGCCGAAGAACUGCUGGACCUGAAACCUGGCUGUCCCUCAGGCUCGGGAGACUUGAGGUUGGACCAGCAUGAACAGAGACAAAUUGAUUCCAUGAGACCAAAUAAGAGCUGCACGUUGACAUCACACCAGCAGGUGGCAGGAGUGCACUGCUCUGACUGCAGCAGACUUCCUGUAUGAAGGGAUGAAAGGCUGAGCUUGGCUGGCAGUUCAGGCAUUAUCUCACCCCAGUUUGAUUCCAUUACACCGACAGAAGGAAAGAGGAGCUGACUCACAGAACCAACCGAGAGAGAAACCCGUCUACUUAAAACUUUAUUGAAAGGCUAA